ACCGCCACCUACUGUGCAGGAGUGUGAGUCAGAGCGAGGAGAGAGGGUAUAUAUACACACUGGCUGAUCAGACCAUAUGAACAAUAGGGAUUACUAGACAAACAUUUACUAACUAAAACUAAAACCACAAAUCAGUACAGUCAGAUUGUUAAUAAACCUAAACACCCUAAACCAUAAACCUAACUAUUUAACUUCAAACUUAAAUUAAUUAACAAAUGACAAAAUAAUAAACUAAAGGAAAUUCUUCAGUCCCCUCUUCAGGGAGCUAUUGGUUUGGCCCCAUCAGCUCCUCCUGUAUUUAGCUGACAGAACCCCUUCAACCCUGUUUGCCUGUCCCAUCUCAGGAAGCAGGAAGUGGAGAACCUCUCAGCACCGGAAUAAGAAAAACCCGCGGGAGUGAAGAACAAACUUUUGGGGGAGUUUUUGAAAGUUUCACGGCUGUUGUGGUAAAAGAUGCAGAAAGAGAGUUGGUGAGCCGUCUGCAGGAUUAGGACCAAGUGUCAUCUUUAAGGUGAGGGAUGCUGCUGAUCUCACUAUUUUUACUUUAUUCAACACACACACACACACACACACACCUGCUAUGUAAUCAGAUCAUUUAUUAUGAUUUGGCUUCAAACAGACCAGAUAAAGGCUGUAGAGGCUUUAUGAUGGGCAGAUUUGUGUUUAAGAACUAAAAAAGCUGUCAUGCUCUACUCCAGGGGACAAGCAUUUGUGUAAUGAUUGUUGUUUGAACAUCUGGAAACAUCUUGCUCUUUGCAGGUGUGUCAGUUACCAUGGAAACGUAAAGGCACUAAUAAAACCCUUUACUUCUGAAAAGCAAAAAAAAAACAAUCUGCAGAUUCAGAUAUUUUUACUAUAAAACUAAGUUUUUGUGAAGUAAUCUAAUCCAGUGUGGUUUCUAUUUAAGCACAGGUUAAAGUGGUAUUCUGUCAUCAAGGCCACCAGAAAACUGAUGAAUUGUGAGGAAAUAAUUUACACCAACGUAACCCUCACUGUACGUAGUUAGCUUCAGACAAAAGGGUGCAUUGUGAGAGCAGCAGGAUCUCCACCACCUCUGGGUGUUUUUAUGGAAGCAUAAACAUGUCUGCUGUUGCUGAUCUGAAGCUUUUUCUGGCUCAGAGGCUGCUCCAUCUGACUUUUAUUGUUUUCCUCUAAUAACACAAUCAUUUUUGCAAACUAAAAAUCGUUCAGAUGGAUAAUUUCUGAUUUGUCUAGUGAGAAAUGUAACUGUUAGAUGACAUAGAUUUGCACUCUAAUGAAGCUUAGUGGUAAUUUACGGCAGAGACGUUCAGGGCUCCUCACGAAUCAUCUGUUUUAGAGACUUGGGGGUGAGAGUCGGGCAGUUUUGGUUUUGUUUUGGCACAAGUGAAAAUUUGUUCAUCGGAAGCUGAAGGGUUGAAUGAAUUACUGCACAUAAACUAAACAGGGUUUAUCCAUCCAUUCAUCCAUUUUCAACCGCUUAUCUGAAGUUGGGUCGCGGGGAUAGCAGCCUAAGCCCAGAGGCCCAGACUUCCCUCUCCCCAGCCACUUGGGCCAGCUCCUCCAGGGGAAUCCCAAGGCUCUCCUGUGUGCGUGCGUGCGUGUGUGUGUGUGUGUGUGUGUGUGUGUGUGUGUGUGUGUGUGUGUGUGUGUGUGUGUGUGUGUGUGUGUGUGUGUGUGUGUGUGUGCGUGUGUGUGUGUGUGUGUGUGUGUGUGUGUGUGCGUGUGUGUGCGUGCUCUCUUCUCCAUCCGCAGUGAGUCGUGGCGAAUGGCUGCUUAUACUGAGCCAGGAUCCUCUGGAGGUUUCUUCCUGUUAAAAGGGAGUUUUUCUCUCCAGUCGCUGCAUGCUUGCUUAGUAUGAGGAUUGCUGUAAAGACUCUGACACUAGUCAGUGACUCGAUGCAACCUGCUGGGUUCCUUAUUUAGUGUAAUGAAGUCAAUAAGAGGGUAAAUUGAAUUAAAUAAAUUGCUUAAGAGCUAUUUAUUUUUAUUGUCAUUACUUGUGACCCAUAGCUGUGAUAAUCUAUUAAUUAUAGAAUGUCACCUGCUUGGUCUUUAAGAUGAUUAGGCAGAAGAUUCUAAGAUUCUUUGUUUAUUCAGGGACUGUCAUCACUUCGUUUAUGAUUCAAGAACGAAUCAGGGUUUGUAACCAAAUAAUUUAUUUUACAAACAAUUUAAGACUUGACAAAUGGUUUAAACUAUUAUUUACUGUGAGUGGAUGCGAACUAAGAGAUGGGUGUCUGGAACUAGGUGUGAAUAUACAAUUUCAGAGUCGGUAGUCGGUAUCAUGAGAAAGCUGAAUCCUGGAUGGAGGAAAUUUGGUUUGCAAGUAAGCUGCAAGCUGUUAUUUAUCAAACUGCAUACAGACGCUAUCUCACUGUGUUCUACGUACCCAAGUGGAGGCGCCCUUGCGGGUCUGAAAUGUCAGGGGGGGUUGGAGACCCCGAGUACAGAAGUCCGUUGACUAACUCCUAGUACGACCAGGUCAGUCCAGGACCGCUUCCAGGUAACAGGUGAACUAGAUGGAACCAAGCGUCUCAAAACAACUCUGAAGGAGUGUCGUAAAAUCAGCUUUGUUCUGCAGGAAAAAUAUCUUGUCCUCAGCUUCGCAGGCGCAAAAGCUUAAGGUUUUGACUAUGUCAAAAUCCUUCUGGUGAAAGAGGCUUGCUCAGAUGGCCGUUCUGAGCUUCUCUCUCUCUGUCUGUCUGACUUUCUGAGACUGAGAGUGAAGCUCUUUUUAAGGCCUGGUGUUAUCUCAGAAGUUGCCAAGCAUCUCAGAACACAGUCUCUGAUUCCGAACUCUGAAAUGUGGGACAAGGUUACUUAUGUGUCAUGUCUUUAUCUUAGCCUUACUCUGUCUGCAAGUGUGAUGACCUAAUCCAGUAAACAGUAUCAUUGAAACAGAUUCAUAAAACAUUUAAUCAUUUAUACAUGGCAAUAUUUAGUGAUUAUUAGUCAUAAAAUCUUGUCACUGGUAAGUCCUUGAAGUUAAUAUUUCAAAAACGAUAAAUGAGCACUGUGAUCCCACACAGCGUGCUGAAGAGUAGGGACAGGACCAGGCCUCAGGCUAACCGGAGAGCUCCCGCAACCACGGCAGGAACCAUAGGAUGUCCAGACCCAAACGAACCGGACCCUCAGGCAGCAGGCAGGCGAAUCAGGCAAUGGAGUAGAGAGGUCCUCCCAGGAAGCAAAGACCAAUGGUGAAACUCAGAAGAGAAGAAGAGCAGACACAGGGCACUUCAAAGUAAACACACACGGAUAGACGUCGAUGCAAAACAACAAACAAAAAUAAACCUAGCACUAUAUGUGCUAUGUGAAGUCAA